GACCCUGGCUCAGGAUGAACGCUAGCGGCAGGCUUAACACAUGCAAGUCGAGGGGCAGCGGGGUGUAGCAAUACACUGCCGGCGACCGGCGCACGGGUGCGUAACGCGUAUGCAACCUACCCAUAACAGGGGCAUAACACUGAGAAAUUGGUACUAAUUCCCCAUAACAUUCGAAGAGGCAUCUCUUUGGGUUGAAAACUCCGGUGGUUAUGGAUGGGCAUGCGUUGUAUUAGCUAGUUGGUAGG
rnacentral:rRNA from 1 species